AGACUGCCGGUGGACAAACCGGAGGAAGGUGGGGAUGACGUCAGGUCAUCAUGGCCUUACGGCCAGGGCUACACACGUGCUACAAUGGCGCGCACAGAGGGCUGCAAACCCGCGAGGGGGAGCUAAUCUCACAAAACGCGUCGUAGUCCGGAUCGCAGUCUGCAACUCGACUGCGUGAAGUCGGAAUCGCUAGUAAUCGUGAAUCAGAAUGUCACGGUGAAUACGUUCCCGGGCCUU
rnacentral:rRNA from 1 species